GGUGCCAUGGCUUAGAUGGUUAAAGUGCCUGCCUAGUAAAUAGGAGAUCCUGGGUUCAAGUCCCAGUGGUGCCU